rnacentral:piRNA from 1 species
UGACCCCUCAAGUUAUACUUCUCUUUGAA